UCCCUGGAGGACUAGUGUUUGGGCCACGGCGUUCUCACCGCCGCGGCCUGGGUUCAAUUCCCGGGCAGGGAG